GACGAACGCUGGCGGCGUGCUUAACACAUGCAAGUCGAGCGGUAAGGCCCUUUCGGGGGUACACGAGCGGCGAACGGGUGAGUAACACGUGGGUGACCUGCCCUCAGCUCUGGGAUAAGCCUGGGAAACCGGGUCUAAUACCGGAUAUGACUCCAUGACGCAUGUUGUGGGGUGGAAAGCCUUGUGCGGCUGAGGAUGGGCCCGCGGCCUAUCAGCUUGUUGGGUGGGGUGANGGGCCUACCAAGGCGACGACGGGUAGCCGGCCUGAGAGGGCGACCGGCCACACUGGGACUGAGACACGGCCCAGACUCCUACGGGAGGCAGCAGUGGGGAAUCUUGCGCAAUGGGCGAAAGCCUGACGCAGCGACGCCGCGUGAGGGAUGACGGCC
rnacentral:rRNA from 1 species